rnacentral:rRNA from 1 species
UGGGGAAUUUUGGACAAUGGACGAAAGUCUGAUCCAGCCAUGCCGCGUGAGUGAAGAAGGCCUUCGGGUUGUAAAGCUCUUUCGGCGGGGACGAUGAUGACGGUACCCGCAUAAGAAGCCCCGGCAAACUUCGUGCCAGCAGCCGCGGUAAUACGAAGGGGGCUAGCGUUGUUCGGAAUUACUGGGCGUAAAGCGAACGUAGGCGGUGUUCCAUGUCAGAGGUGAAAGCCUGGGGCUCAACUCCAGAAUUGCCUUUGAAACGGGGACGCUUGAGUCCGAGAGAGGGUGGCGGAAUUCCUAGUGUAGAGGUGAAAUUCGUAGAUAUUAGGAAGAACACCAGUGGCGAAGGCGGCCACCUGGCUCGGUACUGACGCUCAGGUUCGAAAGCGUGGGGAGCAAACAGGAUUAGAUACCCUGGUAGUCCACGCCGUAAACGAUGUGUGCUAGACGUUGGGGAGCCUAGCUCUCCGGUGUCGCCGCAAACGCUUUAAGCACACCGCCUGGGGAGUACGGCCGCAAGGUUA